rnacentral:rRNA from 1 species
GGUUAAGCGACUAAGCGUACACGGUGGAUGCCCUGGCAGUCAGAGGCGAUGAAGGACGUGCUAAUCUGCGAUAAGCGUCGGUAAGGUGAUAUGAACCGUUAUAACCGGCGAUUUCCGAAUGGGGAAACCCAGUGUGAUUCGUCACACUAUCAUUAACUGAAUCCAUAGGUUAAUGAGGCGAACCGGGGGAACUGAAACAUCUAAGUACCCCGAGGAAAAGAAAUCAACCGAGAUUCCCCCAGUAGCGGCGAGCGAACGGGGAGCAGCCCAGAGCCUGAAUCAGUGUGUGUGUUAGUGGAAGCGUCUGGAAAGGCGCGCGAUACAGGGUGACAGCCCCGUACACAAAAAUGCACAUACUGUGAGCUCGAUGAGUAGGGCGGGACACGUGGUAUCCUGUCUGAAUAUGGGGGGACCAUCCUCCAAGGCUAAAUACUCCUGACUGACCGAUAGUGAACCAGUACCGUGAGGGAAAGGCGAAAAGAACCCCGGCGAGGGGAGUGAAAAAGAACCUGAAACCGUGUACGUACAAGCAGUGGGAGCACGCUUAGGCGUGUGACUGCGUACCUUUUGUAUAAUGGGUCAGCGACUUAUAUUCUGUAGCAAGGUUAACCGAAUAGGGGAGCCGAAGGGAAACCGAGUCUUAACUGGGCGUUAAGUUGCAGGGUAUAGACCCGAAACCCGGUGAUCUAGCCAUGGGCAGGUUGAAGGUUGGGUAACACUAACUGGAGGACCGAACCGACUAAUGUUGAAAAAUUAGCGGAUGACUUGUGGCUGGGGGUGAAAGGCCAAUCAAACCGGGAGAUAGCUGGUUCUCCCCGAAAGCUAUUUAGGUAGCGCCUCGUGAAUUCAUCUCCGGGGGUAGAGCACUGUUUCGGCAAGGGGGUCAUCCCGACUUACCAACCCGAUGCAAACUGCGAAUACCGGAGAAUGUUAUCACGGGAGACACACGGCGGGUGCUAACGUCCGUCGUGAAGAGGGAAACAACCCAGACCGCCAGCUAAGGUCCCAAAGUCAUGGUUAAGUGGGAAACGAUGUGGGAAGGCCCAGACAGCCAGGAUGUUGGCUUAGAAGCAGCCAUCAUUUAAAGAAAGCGUAAUAGCUCACUGGUCGAGUCGGCCUGCGCGGAAGAUGUAACGGGGCUAAACCAUGCACCGAAGCUGCGGCAGCGACGCUUAUGCGUUGUUGGGUAGGGGAGCGUUCUGUAAGCCUGUGAAGGUGUACUGUGAGGUAUGCUGGAGGUAUCAGAAGUGCGAAUGCUGACAUAAGUAACGAUAAAGCGGGUGAAAAGCCCGCUCGCCGGAAGACCAAGGGUUCCUGUCCAACGUUAAUCGGGGCAGGGUGAGUCGACCCCUAAGGCGAGGCCGAAAGGCGUAGUCGAUGGGAAACAGGUUAAUAUUCCUGUACUUGGUGUUACUGCGAAGGGGGGACGGAGAAGGCUAUGUUGGCCGGGCGACGGUUGUCCCGGUU